CCGACGAAUGCAGCUGUACAUUUUGUUCUUAUUCAGUUAAUAUUCUCAAAGGCACACUAAGCCUUGGAUAACCCAUUGUUCUCUUGUGAUUACAGAGAGGUUACAGUAGUAAAUUUAACAACCAUUACUUAUGCAUAUUAUGGAUCUUCAUACGGAUAGUUUGUACGUCAUAUCUUUGUUUUCAUGUGCUUGUAACUAACUGAGUUUGCUUUCCCAGUUGAUGCAAUAUUGGUCGUUAUAGGUUCCAGUUUCACACACCUUUAGGUGAAUUUGGCUGUGUUAUGACUACUUUAAAUGUGCAUUUAGUAGGCUCAUGUUCAAUGCAACAUUUGCUAGCAUGGAGUAGAGAUUUAUGUUAUGUUUCAAUGAUUUAAUAGUAAGGGAUCUGUGGCACAAUGGUAUCAUGUCUUACUCCAUGUCCGAAGCUUGUGCCUUUGGUUCAGUCAGGUUCACUACCUCAUGUUUGGAACUAAUAGAAUUUGCUAUUAAUCUGUCGUAAGGGCUCUGAGAAAAACACUAUUAACUCUUGACUUUUGUUUUAAGCGAAUGCAUAUUUUAGAUUUUGAUACUGGUUAGUUAUUCGAAGUUGAAGUAGCAAUUUUUUUGAGAUUUUUGGGUUGAUAUAAUGUUUGUUUUCUAUUUUCUGUGUUAGUAUGAUAAAGAUUAGAUAUAAAUUAUUGCAAGGCCCUAUAGUUAUACAGGUUUCUUAUGCAGAUAUAUAAGUUGUUGAUGUAUCUAUUUGUUUUGCUUUCUUCUUUUGAAUGGAACUAACCUUAUGUGCAAGCUAAGGCUAUUUAGCAAAACAAACACAGGCCCAAGUUUAUCUGGAUCAAGUCAUAUACUGUGUGUGUCUGAGCCAAACGAGAAACUUUGGAGUUUGGUGUUGGCGCUUCGAGCAAAAUGGAAUUCCUCUGAUUCUAGAAUGUUUAUCUAACGCUGUCGGAAAUACUGUGAAUAAUGCACUGGGAGCCGUGUAUUAUCUUUGUAACUCUGUGAAUAAGGAAGAGAUCUUAAGCCUGAAUGCUGUCCAACUGUCAAGGGGAUUAAAGCCAACAUUCCCUGGAGUCCGAGCGUGUUGGCAACACAAAGUUUAUGCAUCAACAAGUAAUGGAUUAUGUCCCAGUGCAUUUGCACAGAACUUGUUGUUUCAAAUAGUGACACCCUGAUUUACUUCAGUUUAUUGUGUUCCUAGCAUACCCUGAUAAACUAAUAAUAAGUAAAUUGGAGCCCUGCAGUUGAAACGAGUUUCAGUAUUACAGAAAAUUAUUUGGGGGAGGAAGGAGCGGGAAGUGUUGAAUCAAUGUUGAAAUUCACUAAGGGGGGCAUCUCCCAGCGUAGGGACCUGGCGUGGCUUGCGGCAGUAUGAACAACACCUUUUUUUUCGAAAAUGCUUUGUUGUCUCCGCAGCUGUUGAUGUACGUAACAACCUACAUUUAGCUCCCCAAAAGCUAAACCUAUAGGUUUACUGUUGAAGAUAAGAUAGGAUAAGAGAGAACUACAUAUGUGGGUUCGUAUUGAUGGUGAUAAAGGUUGAGUGCAGGAAAAGGUUGACUUGGAAUGGGUUAAAUGAAGGUCAGGGUACUCGGUGGUUUGAGAGAACAAGUUUCGCUGAUUCUGGAAGUCAGAGGUGAAAAAGUUAAGGGGGUCUACGUGAGUGUUGGGCAUGCAUAUCAUACUUAGGUAUUCAACUGUGAGAUCUCCUUAUGCGGCAGUCAACUCUCAGCAACAAUGGGAACUGGACAGCUACUUAGACAGAGAAUUUGGUCUAUGGAAAAUAGUAGGCUCACCCAUUUGAGGUAGUUAAACUUAGCUUGGAAGUUUGGAUAAGCAAGAACAAGAAACGGUAUCUAGCUGGAACCAAAGAGAAGUAGGAGGUGCCUCUAGAAGGCAAUGAAGAGUGGAAGUGUCAAGAGCUUAAGGGAUUGGUGGAGCUGCACACGUUCUAUAUUGCUUUCACUUUCUUAAGCAUACAUCCUAAUGCUUAUCGAGCGCAAAUUAAUUUAUUUGCAGAUACUCGCUUCAUCUGGGUGACAUGUUCUACUUUCAAAGUUGGAGGACUGUCUUAAUCAGUCUUCCCAACCUGCUGCGCUGAGCACUAAUAAGGCCAGCUCUACAUUUGAAAGCAAGUUACUGUUUGCUGGAUAUCUAGAACCGCAAGUUCUUGUAUAGAAAUGGCGAAAACCAUGAAGAAUGUUGCAAAGUUAGCGUGCUCCAUUGUAGUACAGAACAUGUUCUCCUUAGCGUGCGCCCUUGGUAAUCCAAUUCUUUCACCAGCAGUAACCUAUCGUAAAGAAUUUAUAAGUUGGUAUAAAAAUGAAGAAAAUGUAAUCUUCUCAAUUGAUCGAUCUUGUUACACAGUCUGUUGCGGAGACACACUGUUGGCUUCGAGAAGUCAUAUGGAGACAACGCAUUAAAUUGUUGCCUCAUGUGGUAUGAGGAAGAGAUAAGAUUUCAAUUUGACAUGGAUGGUGAGUGGGUCCACUUGAGUAGCAUUUUUAACAUACCCUCUCUCUUUUUUC